rfam:Oryza nivara chromosome 5, whole genome shotgun sequence.
AAUAAGUUUAUUUAUGGGUUUGUCUUCAAUACUUGACCGUCCGUUUUAUUUAAAAUUUUGUUAUGAUCAGUAUUUUUGUUGUUAUUAGAUGAUAAAAACAUGUAUAAUAUUUUGUGUGUGAGUUAUUUCUUUUAAUUUUUUAUAUUUUUUUAAAUAAAACAGACGAUCACCCGUUAAAUAUAGAAUACAUAAAUAAACUUAUU